rnacentral:rRNA from 1 species
CGAUGUCGGCUCAUCACAUCCUGGGGCUGAAGGCGGUCCCAAGGGUCGGGCUGUUCGCCCGUUAAAGUGGUACGCGAGCUGGGUUCAGACCGGCGUGAGCCAGGUCGGUCCCUAUGUGCUGUGGGCGCAGGAAUCUUGAGGGGCCAUUUCCUUAGUACGAGAGGAUUAGGAAGUACUGACCUCUGGUGCACCGAUUGUUCCGCUAGGGGCAUAGUCGGGUAGCUACGUCGGGAAAGGAUAACCGCUGAAAGCAUCUAAGCGGGAAGCCCACCCCAAGAUGAGGAUUCCGUGAUCUUCGGAUCUGAAGGGCCCUGGUAGACCACCAGGUUGAUAGGCCGGAGGUGUAAGCGCAGAAAUGCGUUCAGCUCACCGGUACUAACGCCCAACGACUUGACCAU